rnacentral:rRNA from 1 species
UGGGGAAUUUUGGACAAUGGGCGAAAGCCUGAUCCAGCAAUGCCGCGUGUGUGAAGAAGGCCUUCGGGUUGUAAAGCACUUUUGUCCGGAAAGAAAUCCUUGGCUCUAAUACAGUCGGGGGAUGACGGUACCGGAAGAAUAAGCACCGGCUAACUACGUGCCAGCAGCCGCGGUAAUACGUAGGGUGCAAGCGUUAAUCGGAAUUACUGGGCGUAAAGCGUGCGCAGGCGGUUUGCUAAGACCGAUGUGAAAUCCCCGGGCUCAACCUGGGAACUGCAUUGGUGACUGGCAGGCUAGAGUAUGGCAGAGGGGGGUAGAAUUCCACGUGUAGCAGUGAAAUGCGUAGAGGUGUGGAGGAAUACCGAUGGCGAAGGCAGCCCCCGUGGGCCAAUACUGACGCUCAUGCACGAAAGCGUGGGGAGCAAACAGGAUUAGAUACCCUGGUAGUCCACGCCCUAAACGAUGUCAACUAGUUGUUGGGGAUUCAUUUCCUUAGUAACGUAGCUAACGCGUGAAGUUGACCGCCUGGGGAGUACGGUCGCAAGAUUAAAACUCAAAUGAAUUGACGGGGUCAUAGCUGUUUCCU